rnacentral:sRNA from 1 species
CUAGCUAAGCCAAGCUGUAGCUGAGCUGUCCCAGGUGGUUCAGCCUCAUCCCCCUUGCUUAUUCGCUACGGGCUCCUGCUCAUGCCUGCCAGAGUGUACAAGCCCAAGCGUGAUCGAUCCUCCCGAGAGCUGACCUGAGCCCAGCUGCCCACCCCUCUCUCAAGCAUCAUCCUCAUGCCUCUGUGUGGUCCUGCUUCCCUGCUGCUGCUUAGGACAGACAGCUUUCUGAUCUGGCUUGCUGCAUGUACCGUCUGCCCUGGCAGGUGGGGCUCCUCUGCCCUCCUGCUGUCUCUGCCUCUGUAACACGCUCUUUAUUUCCUUCAUCUAAAUGGAGUGAAGGCAGCCUGGGUGGUGGCCACUCCAUCCCCCUCUUCUCUGUUCAGUCCUUCUACAGGAAGCACUUUGACACAGAAGAGACCCGGGUGAAUCAGCUGUUUGCACAAGCAAAGGCCUGCAAGGUGCUGGUGGAGAAAUGCACAGUGAGUGUGAAGGACAUCCAGGCGCACCUGGCUCA